rnacentral:rRNA from 1 species
GGUUAAGCGACUAAGCGUACACGGUGGAUGCCCUGGCAGUCAGAGGCGAUGAAGGACGUGCUAAUCUGCGAUAAGCGUCGGUAAGGUGAUAUGAACCGUUAUAACCGGCGAUUUCCGAAUGGGGAAACCCAGUGUGAUUCGUCACACUAUCAUUAACUGAAUCCAUAGGUUAAUGAGGCGAACCGGGGGAACUGAAACAUCUAAGUACCCCGAGGAAAAGAAAUCAACCGAGAUUCCCCCAGUAGCGGCGAGCGAACGGGGAGGAGCCCAGAGCCUGAAUCAGUGUGUGUGUUAGUGGAAGCGUCUGGAAAGGCGCGCGAUACAGGGUGACAGCCCCGUACACAAAAAUGCACAUACUGUGAGCUCGAUGAGUAGGGCGGGACACGUGGUAUCCUGUCUGAAUAUGGGGGGACCAUCCUCCAAGGCUAAAUACUCCUGACUGACCGAUAGUGAACCAGUACCGUGAGGGAAAGGCGAAAAGAACCCCGGCGAGGGGAGUGAAAAAGAACCUGAAACCGUGUACGUACAAGCAGUGGGAGCCUCUUUUAUGGGGUGACUGCGUACCUUUUGUAUAAUGGGUCAGCGACUUAUAUUCUGUAGCAAGGUUAACCGAAUAGGGGAGCCGAAGGGAAACCGAGUCUUAACUGGGCGUUAAGUUGCAGGGUAUAGACCCGAAACCCGGUGAUCUAGCCAUGGGCAGGUUGAAGGUUGGGUAACACUAACUGGAGGACCGAACCGACUAAUGUUGAAAAAUUAGCGGAUGACUUGUGGCUGGGGGUGAAAGGCCAAUCAAACCGGGAGAUAGCUGGUUCUCCCCGAAAGCUAUUUAGGUAGCGCCUCGUGAAUUCAUCUCCGGGGGUAGAGCACUGUUUCGGCAAGGGGGUCAUCCCGACUUACCAACCCGAUGCAAACUGCGAAUACCGGAGAAUGUUAUCACGGGAGACACACGGCGGGUGCUAACGUCCGUCGUGAAGAGGGAAACAACCCAGACCGCCAGCUAAGGUCCCAAAGUCAUGGUUAAGUGGGAAACGAUGUGGGAAGGCCCAGACAGCCAGGAUGUUGGCUUAGAAGCAGCCAUCAUUUAAAGAAAGCGUAAUAGCUCACUGGUCGAGUCGGCCUGCGCGGAAGAUGUAACGGGGCUAAACCAUGCACCGAAGCUGCGGCAGCGACACUAUGUGUUGUUGGGUAGGGGAGCGUUCUGUAAGCCUGUGAAGGUGUACUGUGAGGUAUGCUGGAGGUAUCAGAAGUGCGAAUGCUGACAUAAGUAACGAUAAAGCGGGUGAAAAGCCCGCUCGCCGGAAGACCAAGGGUUCCUGUCCAACGUUAAUCGGGGCAGGGUGAGUCGACCCCUAAGGCGAGGCCGAAAGGCGUAGUCGAUGGGAAACAGGUUAAUAUUCCUGUACUUGGUGUUACUGCGAAGGGGGGACGGAGAAGGCUAUGUUGGCCGGGCGACGGUUGUCCCGGUUUAAGCGUGUAGGCUGGUUUUCCAGGCAAAUCCGGAAAAUCAAGGCUGAGGCGUGAUGACGAGGCACUACGGUGCUGAAGCAACAAAUGCCCUGCUUCCAGGAAAAGCCUCUAAGCAUCAGGUAACAUCAAAUCGUACCCCAAACCGACACAGGUGGUCAGGUAGAGAAUACCAAGGCGCUUGAGAGAACUCGGGUGAAGGAACUAGGCAAAAUGGUGCCGUAACUUCGGGAGAAGGCACGCUGAUAUGUAGGUGAAGCGACUUGCUCGUGGAGCUGAAAUCAGUCGAAGAUACCAGCUGGCUGCAACUGUUUAUUAAAAACACAGCACUGUGCAAACACGAAAGUGGACGUAUACGGUGUGACGCCUGCCCGGUGCCGGAAGGUUAAUUGAUGGGGUUAGCGGUAACGCGAAGCUCUUGAUCGAAGCCCCGGUAAACGGCGGCCGUAACUAUAACGGUCCUAAGGUAGCGAAAUUCCUUGUCGGGUAAGUUCCGACCUGCACGAAUGGCGUAAUGAUGGCCAGGCUGUCUCCACCCGAGACUCAGUGAAAUUGAACUCGCUGUGAAGAUGCAGUGUACCCGCGGCAAGACGGAAAGACCCCGUGAACCUUUACUAUAGCUUGACACUGAACAUUGAGCCUUGAUGUGUAGGAUAGGUGGGAGGCUUUGAAGUGUGGACGCCAGUCUGCAUGGAGCCGGCCUUGAAAUACCACCCUUUAAUGUUUGAUGUUCUAACGUUGGCCCCUGAUCGGGGUUGCGGACAGUGUCUGGUGGGUAGUUUGACUGGGGCGGUCUCCUCCUAAAGAGUAACGGAGGAGCACGAAGGUUGGCUAAUCCUGGUCGGACAUCAGGAGGUUAGUGCAAUGGCAUAAGCCAGCUUGACUGCGAGCGUGACGGCGCGAGCAGGUGCGAAAGCAGGUCAUAGUGAUCCGGUGGUUCUGAAUGGAAGGGCCAUCGCUCAACGGAUAAAAGGUACUCCGGGGAUAACAGGCUGAUACCGCCCAAGAGUUCAUAUCGACGGCGGUGUUUGGCACCUCGAUGUCGGCUCAUCACAUCCUGGGGCUGAAGUAGGUCCCAAGGGUAUGGCUGUUCGCCAUUUAAAGUGGUACGCGAGCUGGGUUUAGAACGUCGUGAGACAGUUCGGUCCCUAUCUGCCGUGGGCGCUGGAGAACUGAGGGGGGCUGCUCCUAGUACGAGAGGACCGGAGUGGACGCAUCACUGGUGUUCGGGUUGUCAUGCCAAUGGCACUGCCCGGUAGCUAAAUGCGGAAGAGAUAAGUGCUGAAAGCAUCUAAGCACGAAACUUGCCCCGAGAUGAGUUCUCCCUGACUCCUUGAGAGUCCUGAAGGAACGUUGAAGACGACGACGUUGAUAGGCCGGGUGUGUAAGCGCAGCGAUGCGUUGAGCUAACCGGUACUAAUGAACCGUGAGGCUUAACCUU